UAAUCCAAAACCCGCACCACGCAGCAUACCCUAUAACCCGCAUCGCCCCGCCCCAUUGCUAUCCUUAGGGAGAGGCGCACAAAAGUUACAAUUUUUUCAUUGCAUCUUUGAGGGGUUAUAGACCUGUGUGGACGUGAGGCAGUAGCCACGAUAGAUUUUAAUCAUUCAGAGACUUUAUGAAAGGCCAAGACCCUUGCAAAUUAACUUGAAUUUGAAUUCUUCGAUUGAGAAAGUGUUUCAAAGGCUCAGACACAACCUCAUCUCUAGCGUUUGAUAGUUGAUCUCAAUCUAAGGGUGCUGCUCCCAAUGUCACAAAAUGUACCAAGAAACUAAGCAACGAGUCACAGAGGAACUUGCCCAAUAGAAAUCACAGUACGCAUCAACUUUGAUCGUUGGCUUUAGGAGGUAGAAUUCCUUUGCCCCGUGCUACGAUCAAGCUGGCAUACCAAAGGCAACCCGCGAUUCUUAAAUGAUUAUAGUUUGGGCACUUUGGUGAUACUAAACCAUUUCAAUCUGCGUCUUCUUAGAAAAGACUAACAUCAACCUGUUGUUGAAGAGAAAAUUGUUCAACAUGCAUUAUCUUGGUAAGCUUUGCAUGGGAAGGAAGGCAACUUAGAACAUCAUGUAAGAUCAGCUUACGGUUAUUUUAACACUUUUCACUUCACUACAGUUUAGUUCAUCACACAUUCGGCAUGAC